CCUACGGGAGGCAGCAGUGGGGAAUCUUGCACAAUGGGCGAAAGCCUGAUGCAGCAACGCCGCGUGCGGGAAGAAGGCCCUAGGGUUGUAAACCGCUUUCAGUAGGGAAGCGGUACCUACAGAAGAAGGUGCGGCCAACUACGUGCCAGCAGCCGCGGUGACACGUAGGCACCAAGCGUUAUCCGGAUUUAUUGGGCGUAAAGAGCUCGUAGGCGGUUCGGUAAGUCGGGUGUGAAAACUCUGGGCUCAACCCAGAGAGGCCACCCGAUACUGCUGGACUAGAGUGCGGUAGGGAGGGGAAUUCCUGGUGUAGCGGUGAAAUGCGCAGAUAUCAGGAGGAACACCAGCGGCGAAGGCGCCGCUCUGGGCCGUACUGACGCUGAGGAGCGAAAGCAUGGGUAGCAAACAGGAUUAGAUACCCUUGUAGUC
rnacentral:rRNA from 1 species